rnacentral:rRNA from 1 species
GGGGGGGGCGGGGGGGGGGGCUGGUGGGUGGGGGGGGAGGGCUGGAGCUUGGUGCGUGCACCGAGCGGGUGAGUUGCGAACGGGUGAGUAACGCGUAGGUAACCUGCCUCUUAGCGGGUGAUAACUAUUUGAAACGAUAGCUAAUACCGCAUAAAAGUCGACAUCGCAUGAUGUUGACUUGAAAGGUGCAAUUGCAUCCCUAAGCGCUUGACUUGCGUUGUAUUAGCUAGUUGGUGAGGUAACGGCUCACCAAGGCGACGAUACAUAGCCGACCUGAGAGGGUGAUCGGCCCAACUGGGACUGAGACACGGCCCAGACUCCUACGGGAGGCAGCAGUAGGGAAUCUUCGGCAAUAGGGGCAACCCUGACCGAGCAACGCCGCGUGAGUGAAGAAGGUUUUCGGAUCGUAAAGCUCUGUUGUAAGAGAAGAACGAGUGUGAGAGUGGAAAGUUCACACUGUGACGGUAACUUACCAGAAAGGGACGGCUAACUACGUG